CUGAUAUCAGUGAGAUCUGAUCCAUCCUCCCUCCAUACUGCCGUGGCCCACUCCAAAGCCUUCCCAGUUAGGAGUGAACAUACAAAGGAGAUCUUGCUGAUAUCAGUGGUGUACAUCGCAGGCUGUUGGUUGACAAACAAGGAGCAUUGC